rnacentral:rRNA from 1 species
GCUUAGAAGCAGCCACUCAUUUAAAGAGUGCGUAAUAGCUCACUGGUCGAGUGAUCCUGCGCCGAAAAUUUCCGGGGCUAAAACGUACUACCGAAGCUACGGCAUCAUUUAUGAUGGGUAGGGGAGCUUCGUAUGCAGGCUGAAGCAUGACCGUAAGGACAUGUGGACAGUAUACGAGUGAGAAUGUUGGCAUGAGUAGCGAGACGUGGGUGAGAAUCCCACGGGCCGUAAACCCAAGGUUUCCAGGGGAAGGUUCGUCCGCCCUGGGUUAGUCGGGACCUAAGCCGAGGCCGAAAGGCGUAGGUGAUGGACAACAGGUUGAUAUUCCUGUACCGCCAAUAAGCGUUUGAGAGAUGGAGUGACACAGUAGGAUAAGCUAACCGUACUGUUGGUUAUGUACGGCUAAGCAUUGAGGCAGUCUAAAUAGGCAAAUCCGUUUAGACAAUGCUAGGAUGUGAUGGGGAAGCCCUUCGGGGCGAAGUAGCUGAUUUCACACUGUCAAGAAAAGCUUCUAUCGAGUUUAAAGGCGCCCGUACCGUAAACCGACACAGGUGGGUGAGGAGAGUAUCCUAAGGCCAGCGAGAGAACUAUUGUUAAGGAACUCGGCAAAAUGACCCCGUAACUUAGGGAGAAGGGGUGCCUGUCUAUGACAGGCCGCAGAGAAUAGGCCCAAGCGACUGUUUACCAAAAACACAGGUUUCUGCUAAGUCGCAAGACGAUGUAUAGGAGCUGACGCCUGCCCGGUGCUGGAAGGUUAAGGGGAUCUGUUAGAGCAAUCGAAGCAGUGAACUUAAGCCCCAGUAAACGGCGGCCGUAACUAUAACGGUCCUAAGGUAGCGAAAUUCCUUGUCGGGUAAGUUCCGACCCGCACGAAAGGCGUAACGAUUUGGGCACUGUCUCAACAAUAGACUCGGUGAAAUUGUAAUCCCGGUGAAGAUGCCGGGUACCUGCGACAGGACGGAAAGACCCCAUGGAGCUUUACUGUAGCUUGACGUUGGGUCUUGGUACUACAUGUACAGGAUAGGUGGGAGACUAUGAAGCAUGGACGCCAGUCUGUGUGGAGUCAUCCUUGGGAUACCACCCUUGUAGUACUGGGAUCCUAACCAUAGGCCUUGAAUCAGGUCUUGGAACACCGUCAGGUGGGCAGUUUGACUGGGGCGGUCGCCUCCUAAAAAGUAACGGAGGCGCUCAAAGGUUUCCUCAGCACGGUCGGAAAUCGUGCGAAGAGUGUAAAGGCAAAAGGAAGCUUGAUUGCAAGACAUACAGGUCGAGCAAGGACGAAAGUCGGACUUAGUGAUCCGGUGGUACCGCAUGGAAGGGCCAUCGCUCAACGGAUAAAAGCUACCCUGGGGAUAACAGGCUUAUCUCCCCCAAGAGUCCACAUCGACGGGGAGGUUUGGCAC